UACGGGGGGGGCAAGCGUUGUUCGGAAUUACUGGGCGUAAAGGGCUCGUAGGCGGCCAACUAAGUCAGACGUGAAAUCCCUCGGCUUAACCGGGGAACUGCGUCUGAUACUGGAUGGCUUGAGAUUGGGAGAGGGAUGCGGAAUUCCAGGUGUAGCGGUGAAAUGCGUAGAUAUCUGGAGGAAUACCGGUGGCGAAGGCGGCAUCCUGGACCGACAUUGACGCUGAUGAGCGAAAGCCAGGGGAGCAAACGGG
rnacentral:rRNA from 1 species